CCCCCCAGAGUCAGCGUAGUCCCAGAUCUGCUCUCUGGAGUCCUGGGUGGGAGGAUCUGGGGAUCUAGACAGGGAGGAAGAUACAGAAGAUUGAUUUGGGGAGGCAGAAGAAUUGGUAGAAGCGGUCCCUGGUCACCAGUCUCAGCUUGUUCCUUAGGGUAUGCUCAUCUCUUGGGUGAAAAUCAUUCUGCCACACAUUCCCUUUCAUUCCUCCAGGAGCUGACCUGCACUCCCAGGAUAAUUUAUUUUAAUGAGAACUUCAUUCUCAGUCAUCCUACCAACAGACUCCAGCUAGAAGACAAAGGACUCAGAACUGGACUCUGGCCCUCUCUAAAGCAAAGUGAAGGAAGUGGUAUCCAUCAGAGUGCUGGGAGGAGACACCACCUGCAGAUCGGGAUUGCGGAGCCUUCCAAGGCUGAGGUGUCACUGGGCCAGGAGCUGCAUGCGUAAACAGUUCUACUCCAGGUAAGUUGCGAUUUUUUUUCUUCUUUGAUUUAUUUACUUUCCUUUUGCUAGUUAACUUUGCUCAGUCUAUAAAAAUCAGAAUGUUGUGGCUGGGUGCAGUGGCUCAUGCCUAUAAUCCCAGCACUUUGUUAGGCUGAGGCGGGCAGAUGUCUUGAGGUCAGGAGUUCGAGACCAGUCUGGCCAACAUGGUGAAAUUCCCAUCUCUACUAAAAAUACAAAAAUUAGUUGGGCUUAGUGAUGCGUGCCUGUUAUCCCGGCUAGUCAGGAGGUUGAGGCAGCUGAAUCAAACUCAGGAGGCAGAGGUUGCAGUGAGCUGAGAUCAUGCCACCACAUUCCAGCCUGGGCAACAGAGUGAGACUCCAUCUCAAAAAAAAAGUAAGAAUUUUUCUCUUUCCUUCUUCUCACCAUUAGAGUCCUAUAACUUCCCUCUUGUCUCCAUACCUCCUGCCACUUAUUUCUCCAAAAUUGAUACGUUUAGUGAUAAGAUCAGUUAAGAUAACAUCUAAUAGAAAGAACCAUGGUCUGACUCCCUGUCACUCUGAGAAAUAGUUCUUGCUGGACAGGGUGGCUCAUGGCUAUAAUCCCAGCACACUGGGAGGCUGAGGUGGGAGGAUUGCUUGAGGCCAGGAGUUUGAGACCAGCUUAGGCAACAUGGGGAGACUUCAUCUUUAUUAAAAAAUAUAAAAAUAAAGAAAAACAAAAAAUAACUAGCUGUCUACUUGAUAUGUACCUAUGAUUUGAUUGGGAGGCUGCAGGCAAGGGCUCUCUGUAACCUGUGUCUAUUGUACUACCAACAUAUGCUGAUCACUAUCUUAUUUGACCUGGAUGAUGGGGGAGGAGAAAGGAUACUGGAAUGAGAAGCCAUAGUAUACAAGGCAUAUAGCAACUUUCCUUUAAGAAGUUAGCUAAGGCCGGGCACGGUGGCUCAUGCCUGUAAUGCCAGCACUUUGGGAGGCCGAGGAGGGUGGAUCACGAGGUCAAGAGAUCGAGACCAUCCUGGUCAACAUGAUGAAACCCCAUCUCUACUAAAAAUACAAAAAUUAGCUGGGCACGGUGGCGCAUGCCUGUAAUCCCAGCUACUUGGGAGGCUGAGGCAGGAGAAUUGCCUGAACCCAGGAGGCAGAGGUUGCGGUGAGCCGAGAUCGCGCCAUUGCACUCCAGCCUGGGUAACAAGAAUGAAACUCCGUCUCAAAAAAAAAAAAAAAAAGAAGUUAGCUAAAUAUUUAAAAAA
ensembl:lncRNA